rnacentral:rRNA from 1 species
UACGUAGGGUGCAAGCGUUGUCCGGAAUUAUUGGGCGUAAAGAGUUCGUAGGCGGUUUGUCGCGUCCGUUGUGAAAUCGCCCGGCUCAACUGGGCGGGGUCAGCGGAUACGGUCGAGCUUGAGCAAGCUAGGGGGUAAUGGAAUUCCCGGUGUAGUGGUGGAAUGCGUAGAUAUCGGGAGGAACACCAGUGGCGAAGGCGGUUACCUGGGGCUUUGCUGACGCUGAUGCGCGAAAGCCAGGGGAGCGAACGGG